CAUCGCCUCUUGCUUCCCCCCCCCCCCCAUAAGAGGUCCAGCCUGCCCAGUGACUCUGUUCAACGGCUGCGGUAUUCUAACCGUGCAAAGGUAGCGUAAUCACUUGUUUUCUAAAUAAAGACCUGUAUGAAAGGCACCACGAGAACUAAACUGUCUCCUUUUUCCAAUCAGUGAACCUAAUCUCCCCGUGAAAAAGCAGGGAUUAAAAUAUAAGACGAGAAGACCCUGUGGAGCUUAAAACAUCCCUCACUUGCCAUUUCAUACUUUACCCCGGUCCAUAACUAAACAGCAACCCUGACCUAAUGUUUUUGGUUGGGGUGACCGCGGAGAAAAACUUAUCCUCCAUAAUGAAAGGAAUUCCCUAAGCUAUAAAAUACAACUUUAAGCAUCAAAAAAUUGACAUCCAUUGACCCAAUAAAUUGAUCAAUGAACCAAGUUACCCCAGGGAUAACAGCAC
rnacentral:rRNA from 1 species